UUGUUCAAAGAACCGUCAAAUUUAGAAAAAAAGCGUAUAGCGAAAUCGUGUAUAUCGAGUAUGGCGUAUAUCGGGGAAUACCUGUAUAGCCACACGAGGAAGGCGCUGCUUCGCGUUCACAUGAAAAUGUGGUAGUGUGAAAUCAAGUUUGCAAGCGGUAGGACGCGUCGGUGUGUGUCCGUUUUUUCUCUCGUGAAACCAGUACGGAAAAACUAUUUGAAAUCGUAACACACGCACGAACGGAAGUGAGCACGGACCACAACAGAAGCAAUAUUCAAUUGGUUGGAGUGCCGAAAACAGAACAGGAGAGUAAAGAAGGCAGGAACGAUCCGAUCCUCCAACGUGCUAGCGCCUGGUAGAGGAGAAGCGGCAGGAAGGUAGAGACGAACAUCCAGCUCGCUAGUGCAGCACGUGGGAGCAGCAAGAGGGAAGCAAGCAGGACGCGUAC